AUUGAACGCUGGCGGAAUGCUUUACACAUGCAAGUCGAGCGGCAGCGCGGGGCAACCUGGCGGCGAGCGGCGAACGGGUGAGUAAUACAUCGGAACAUACCCAGUUGUGGGGGAUAGCCCGGCGAAAGCCGGAUUAAUACCGCAUACGACCUGAGGGUGAAAGGGGGGGAUCGCAAGACCUCUCGCAAUUGGAGUGGCCGAUGGCGGAUUAGCUAGUUGGUGAGGUAAAGGCUAACCAAGGCGACGAUCCGUAGCGGGUCUGAGAGGACGACCCGCCACACUGGAACUGAGACACGGUCCAGACUCCUACGGGAGGCAGCAGUGGGGAAUUUUGGACAAUGGGGGCAACCCUGAUCCAGCCAUUCCGCGUGAGUGAAGAAGGCCUUCGGGUUGUAAAGCUCUUUCGGCAGGAACGAAACGGUGGGUCCUAAUACGAUCUGCUAAUGACGGUACCUGAAGAAGAAGCACCGGCUAACUACGUGCCAGCCGCCGCCGUAA
rnacentral:rRNA from 1 species